GACCGCGUAGCUCAGUUGGAAGAGCAUUGGGCUAGUAUUCCAAAGGUCGUAGGUUCGAAUCCGACCAUGGCCG
rnacentral:tRNA from 1 species